GGCUGGUCCAAAGGUAAGGAGUUACCUCAAUUGAUUGUUCACAGUCAGUUAUAGAUCAGACUCCUCAUUCUGCUCUUCCCCCCAUCUCACUACAGCACUUGACUAGUCUUAA
rnacentral:Y_RNA from 1 species